rnacentral:rRNA from 1 species
GCUGGCGACAAUAGCAAGAGUGAACCACCUGAUCCCUUCCCGAACUCAGAAGUGAAACCUCUUCGCGCUGAUGGUAGUGUGGCGUUAGCCAUGUGAGAGUA